GCGCUUAAGAUUGCCAAUGGUUCAUAAAAAGAAUUCAAGGUCAGAAUACCAUGCCAUACAGAUCUCUACAAAUAUCCUGUACACCAAAUAAAUGUGUUCCUAUUCUUACAGUGCCUUAGAAACUGACAAAUGUAAAAGUUAUGCUUGGCCAAUUAAUUCGGAACAUAAGGUCAAAAGUAUAUGAACCCUGACCGACAGCCAGACAUAGACAUCUUACUAUCAUGCAAUAUAUCAAAUACAAUUGAAGUCAUCAU
rnacentral:lncRNA from 1 species